CCAAUAGCGUAUAUUAAAGUUGUUGCAGUUAAAAAGCUCGUAGUUGAAUUUCGGGGUUCAUCCGUUGGUCGGGCUUUUUGGUCUGUACUGGCGUGAUGGAUUCCUACCUUCUGAAUAACCGGCAUGUCAUUAAUUUGGUGCGCCGGGGAAGCAGGACUGUUACCUUGAAAAAAUUAGAGUGCUUAAAGCAGGCUAUCGCCUGAAUACAUUAGCAUGGAAUAAUGAAAUAGGACGGCAUGGUUCUAUUUUGUUGGUUUCUAGGAUCACCGUAAUGAUUAAUAGGGAUAGUUGGGGGCAUUAGUAUUCAAUUGUCAGAGGUGAAAUUCUUGGAUUUAUUGAAGACUAACUUCUGCGAAAGCAUUUGCCAAGGAUGUUUUCAUUAAUCAAGAACGAAAGUUAGGGGAUCGAAGACGAUCAGAUACCGUCGUAGUCUUAACCAUAAACUAUGCCGACUAGGGAUCGGACGAUGUUAAUUUUUUAAUGACUCGUUCGGCGCCUUACG
rnacentral:rRNA from 1 species